UCACCGGACCUUCCUUGGUGUCUUCUGGUGGUUGACGUCCGUCCUUGGUGAGCUAAGAUCCCUCAGAGCGCUUCGUACAUUGAUUGACACAAAUUGAUUGAUCAUGUUUUUACGCGAUAACAAAAGGUAAUCUCUCAGUCUCGAAUCCGAUGAAGCAAGGCUACAAUAGGUAGCCGGGGCUAGGAUUCACCUUAGGACUUUCUAUGGACUCCAUAUUGAUGGUUUAUGGCUGUUGAUUACAUGUUUGAUGAUUUGAUGAUGAUGUUCUUGAAGUUGGAAAUGAUCUGCAAUUUCGAGUUUCUGGACCUGCUUUCUGUUUUGUCGAUUUUGACCUGUUAAACUUCAUUUCUGGACUUCGACACCUUCUGGACUCUCGUAAUACGCUUGGAGAGCUUCGAUUUGAUAUCUUACGGCACUCGAUUUGGUAUCGUUUACUACCUGAAAACCUAUUCUAAAGUUUGCAUCAGAAUUAGAAGUUCUGUUGUUCUGUUUCUUCAAGUUUUUACACGAUUUGAACAAUUUUGCUAAUUUUUUGCUGAUUUUUCUGUUCGGAUCUGGAUGUUGUGGUCUUCAUAAAAGUUGCUGAGAAUCAUCUUGAUUAUAACUUGUGUUUUUUCUAGAUUUGUCUGAUGUGUCUAGAUGAAUGAAAUCCUCUGUGAAUCGACCUAAGGUCUGAAAUGGCUUUCUGCAUUGAUUACUCUGAAUCAGGUUGUUCGGUUUGAUGAUUUUUUGCUGCCUUGUGUGUUGAGAUUCAAUAGGAGUUGUCCCAUGAAAAAUGAUCUAAAUCAGGUUGUUUAUAAUAUAUAUUUUGCUCGGAAUUUUUGGAAUAUGCCUAAGUGUGGAAAACUGAUGAAAUUUGACCUCUGCACAUGCUAAUUUUGCCCGACCUGCACUGUUGUUGAUUUUUUUUCUGAUUUUUAUGCUAAGAUUUAAACUUAGGUCUCUCAUGAAAAAUGUUCACAUAUGUCUUGAUUGCAACAUAUAAAUUUUUCAGAUUUUUUGGAGAUAAGUAGAUGGGUAAAAACCUCUGUGAACUGACUUUAUGUCUUGUCUGCCUCUAAUGGAACGCGAAUUGGAUUUGCUAAAAAUUGAAUGUGCGAUUGUGAUUUCCUGACCCUGAUGUCUUCAUGAAAGUCAUGGUAUAGUUCAUUACCUUUUCAAAAAGGUAUAAAUCGUGUCAUUCGGUCAUCAUCUGCAUGGUCAAUCGCAUGCUCAUUGUUGAAUCCCUGUUCUGUAAUUGUUGAUUUCAAGGAACCUGAUCUGUUUUCCCAUUUUUACAUGUUUUUUUUUAGAAUCACAAUUAGGUUUGGAUUUCUCAUGAAAAACGUUCAUCAUGUUGUAUACUAUUCACAUGAUUUAUAUCACAUUUUUUGCCAUGCCAUGAGGAUAGUAAACAACAUGUAUCUUGUGAGCUCAUCUGCUGCAAUUCAUUACUGAUAUGCAUCAUUGUAGAAACCUUUUCAAUUGAUCAUGAAAUUGUUGUUAAUCAAACCCGAUGCCUUCUAGAAAGUCUUAGAACACGUCUUAAGCUUUCUAAUGAUGCCGAGAUUGUCUCAUUUGCAUGUCCAUAGACCCCUUUACUAUUUUUAUGAGGUUCCCCUGAAAUCUGGAAAAUUGUAAAUUCGGAAUGCUUAAUGUGCCAAUUCUGCGUUUGCGCUUUGCUGAUUUUGUGUGAAUUUUUCGGAAAAGAUUUUGAUGAUGAGUUCUUCAUGGACUUUGAUUUUCAUUCCCAGACCUAGGUCGUGAAAAAAUUUGAUAAUUUUUGGACAACAUUAACAUGCCCAAAUUUCCAUGAGGUUGCUCUGAAAAUCUGCUCCUAUGUUCUGUUCUGAUGCACUUAUUCAUAUUCUGUGAUUUUGUAAAUUCAUGUGUAGCUUAUCUUAGGAAGUUUUCUCACAAACAAUGUUCGUUGUUGUGUGCUUGAUGUACCAUAAAUUUUCCAAAACUAUUUGACCAUGGGUCCUUUUCCAAUUGAAUGCAUCUUGUAUUCCCUGUUCUGCUGUUCUUUGUUUUUCCUUUAUGAUUUGUCUUUGUUUUAGGAUUUUUAGAAAAUAAUGCAUGCUGAACCGGUUUUUAAUGUUUUCACGAGUUUUAAUUCUCACAAUUUAUCGAUUUUCUAGUGCAUCUGCUUGUGAUUGGCGCGUGAUGAAUUAAAUGAGGUGACCCGAUGUCGGUUCACUAAUUUGAGUGAUUGGAUGAGAAUCAAGGUCUUUUGACCUGUUUGCAUGCUUAAUUCAUCGCUAUGCUAUGUGAUUUUUAGAUGUAUGCCUAGGGAUGGUGCAUGAUCGUGGGUCCAAAUUGGGGAUUACACAUAGAAACUGAUUUAGGAAUUCAUGGUAUUAAUUGCUGUUGGUGAACAUCAAUGGUAGUUAAUAACCAUGAAUUGUGUAUAAAAUGAACAUGAGUAGAUAAUAAGAGGUAUCGAUGCAUGUCGGAACAAAGGCCGACCCUGAGGCAACCUUUGAAAUUCUUCGUCCCUUGUUUGUUAUCUUUGAUUGACUUGUGAUGCUGUGUACUUUGUGAUUGUAUAUUGUUUGUUGUUGUUCUUUCUUUAGUUUCAGUUUUAGAUUAGGGUUAGAAUAGGUCCAAAAAGAUGACGGUCUUGAAUAUGGCGAAGGUCGAUGUCCAUUCCGACUCUAUUCUUUGUAUACGGCGAUGGUCGAAGUCCAUUUCGAUCUAUUUUCUUGUAAAAAUUCAUUCAUUACCCAACAUAUGUCUCGGGUUUCUUAUACACGUUGUAUAAACACCCAA